rnacentral:rRNA from 1 species
UACAGGGGGUGCAAACGUUGCUCGGAAUCACUGGGCGUAAAGCGCACGUAGGCGGAUUGCUAAGUCAGGGGUGAAAUCCUGGAGCUCAACUCCAGAACUGCCUUUGAUACUGGCGACCUUGAGUCCGGGAGAGGUGAGUGGAACUGCGAGUGUAGAGGUGAAAUUCGUAGAUAUUCGCAAGAACACCAGUGGCGAAGGCGGCUCACUGGCCCGGUACUGACGCUGAGGUGCGAAAGCGUGGGGAGCGAACAGG